rnacentral:lncRNA from 1 species
GUUUUGAUUAGGAAGGUUUUUUUUUUAAUUUUUUUAUUUCUCUUUAUUAACACUUGCACCGAGAAUAUUUUAUACAUUGAAUGCAUCUAGCUUGGAGGUAGUUUAGUCACUUAUUUUAUUUUUACUGACAGACGUUUUAUUUUAUUUUUUUUAAAAGUAUUAUUUCGGUGAUGGAGAGCGUUCAACGCUAUUGAAAUCUGCAGGUUAUCAAAUUGCUUCAUAUGCUGCCAUGCUUAUUAAUUGGUAACCGUGGGAUGGUUCUUUUCUCCAACAACUUGCUCUGUUCAUUUGCCUUAGCCUAGAAUGCAUGCUUAAUUAAUUUUCCCUUGUUUUUUUUAGUGACUCAUUUCUUUUGUUUUUUUUUUAUUUAAUUUUAAUCUUUACUUUAAUGUUGUUUAUCUAGUUGAGUUGUGUUAAUUUAAUUGUCAUGUUAGUUUAAAUUAGUUGGGUUCGUCAUUAAUAAAAUUACUUUGUCUCUGAGAUUCUUGCACUUUAAUUGCCAGACUACUGCUCUGAUUUAGCUCAAUAUUUAAUCUGUUGUGUGUCUGCGAUUGGGUAUACGCUUAGUUGCCUAAUUGGUUUUUAAUCUUCGCUUAGUUGAUUAGACUGUAUGGUGCAUGACUGAUUAAAUUUGUGUAUUGCAUUCGCUUAGUCUGCAAUUCUGAAGACCAAAUUACCCUUCGCUUAGUUGGGUGAUUCGUGUUGGAUUUGGAUUAGAGUAGUGUGUACUUGUCGUUAAUAUGUGAUUGGAAGCAUAGUGAUUGAGUUAAUGACCAACCAUUUUUAUUCUGUAGUUGAUUUCGUUUUUACAUUUCUGUUUCCGCGUAUGUUUACAUCUGUGUUUCAAUUUAAUUCAUCUGCAUUCAUACACCUUUCAACAACCCCCCUACUUCAUGUCUGACCUGAUUCUAAACCACAUUUGGUCCUUGAGAGACGACCUAGGAGUCACUUCCUAGUACUAUACUGCAUUUCUAAAUUGCAAUCAAAUUUGUAUGGGCUGCGACAACCCAUCCUUGAUCCAACACCUA